UACAGAGGUCUCAAGCGUUGUUCGGAAUUACUGGGCGUAAAGGGUGCGCAGGUGGUCUUGUAAGUCGAAUGUGAAAGCCCGGCGCUCAACGCCGUAAUUGCAUACGAUACUGCGGGACUUGAGUUUUGAAGAGGGAUCUAGAAUUCACGGUGUAGCAGUGAAAUGCGUAGAUAUCGUGAGGAAUACCAAUGGCGAAAGCAGGAUCCUGGACAAAUACUGACACUAAUGCACGAAGGCCAAGGUAGCAAACGGG
rnacentral:rRNA from 1 species